rnacentral:rRNA from 1 species
ACUCCUACGGGAGGCAGCAGUGGGGAAUAUUGGACAAUGGGCGCAAGCCUGAUCCAGCCAUGCCGCGUGAGUGAUGAAGGCCCUAGGGUUGUAAAGCUCUUUCACCGGUGAAGAUAAUGACGGUAACCGGAGAAGAAGCCCCGGCUAACUUCGUGCCAGCAGCCGCGGUAAUACGAAGGGGGCUAGCGUUGUUCGGAUUUACUGGGCGUAAAGCGCACGUAGGCGGACUAUUAAGUCAGGGGUGAAAUCCCGGGGCUCAACCCCGGAACUGCCUUUGAUACUGGUAGUCUUGAGUUCGAGAGAGGUGAGUGGAAUUCCGAGUGUAGAGGUGAAAUUCGUAGAUAUUCGGAGGAACACCAGUGGCGAAGGCGGCUCACUGGCUCGAUACUGACGCUGAGGUGCGAAAGCGUGGGGAGCAAACAGGAUGAGAAACCCCUGUAGUCCCAUGA